GCUGGUGUGGCGCAGUUGGUAGCGCAACUGAUUCGUAAUCAGUAGGUCGACAGUUCAAGUCUGUUCACCAGCUCCA
rnacentral:tRNA from 2 species